CCCAGAAGUGGAAUCAACGGCAGCAGCAACAACAACAACAGAAACUACAACCACCACCACCACCACCAGCACCCCAGAAGUGGAAUCAACAGCAGAAACCUCAACCUCAACCUCACCAAGCAAACAAAUACUUUUCGGUAUUCAUGGUACUGACGAUGAGUACGAUGAUGAUGAUGAUGAAAAAGAUAAUAGCCUCCUUUCUUAUAGUAAAGAAGAAGCAGCCGUGGAUGAUGACACAGUAAUUGCUGUAGAAGGCGGAAUUGAUAACUAUAUUCAAGUUAUUAAACUUGAAAUUGAGAAUUCAUCGGAUGAGGCAUUAGUUGAUGUGGGUGGUGAAAUAGAUAAAGCCAUUUAUAUUAAGGGUAGCCUUAAUAGUUAUAAACAAAAAAUACCUUUAAGCGUUUUGUAAUUUGAGUAAUUGAAAAAUUUUAAUUGUUUCAUUG